UGCUUGAAGGGCGUAUAAAUUGGACUGUUAAUCCGCAGGUCCCUGGUUCGAGUCCGGGUCAGGGAGCCA
rnacentral:tRNA from 1 species